CCACACUGCUCGUAUUAGCACCUAGUGCCUCUCAUGAAGACCAGCAAACCUCCGGGAUCACCAGCCCCUUGAGGUAAGAGCAUCUAACAUGAAAGACAGAUUCCAUACCUACCAAAAUAAAGGAGCCCUAAGGAAACAGAAACAAUAAGAGUAGCAAAAGAUCAUAUAAAAAAGAAAAAAAUCUCCAAAAGAAAAUACCACACCCCUGACCUAAGAACAAGAUGUUAUGAAAAAGGAACAGGCAGAGAAUAAGAGCUCAUUUGGGGGGCAUCUGGGUGGCUCAGUUGGUUAAGUGUCCAGCUUUUGAUUUCAGCUCAGGUUGUGAUCUCAGGGUUUGUGAGAUCGAGCCCUGAAUUGGGCUCUGUGCUGACACCAUGGAGCCUGCUUGGGAUUCUCUCUCUCCCUCUCUGCCCUUUCCCUGCUUGUGCGUGUGUGCUCUCUUUCUCUCUCUCAAAAUAAAUAAAUUUUUAGAAAGAGCUUUUUUUUUAAUUAAAAUAUAAAUAGCAAAAGUGAAAACUCGAAGAUAAGUUUCCCACAAAUUAGAAAAAAGCAAAAUGAAAAAAUACAAGAGAAAAUAUAAAAUUAGACCACCGGUUUAGGCACAAUCUAACGUGUAAUUAGUGAAUUAGGAGAACACAGAAGGGAGAGCUUCAUCAAGGCAGUCAUCCACCAGAAAAUGUCCUAGAACAGGAGGAUGUGAGGCUCUAGGCCAAAGGAAUGAAAACCCACCCCAGACAGGGUGUUGCAACAUUUCUAGAACCAGGGCACGUCAAACUGACUCUUAAAUCUUCCAGAAAGCGGGCCAGGUCCCCUGUGAAGAGCCCCGGAUCUGACUGACCCUGGAUCUGGCAGCCAUCACACGUGGGCCCAGGUGACAGCAGCACGGCCUUCGAAGUUCUGAAGAAGCUGCGUUUGGAAUCCCAGAAGCUCUACGCAGCGAAUCUUGAAAGAGGGCUGCAUAAGGCCACCUGCAGGAGAACCCCUUGCUGGGCCCUCACCUUGCCAUGCCUGAGUAGGCCUGCUCCCACGACACUGCCUCCUGGAAGCCCUCCUGGCUCCCUUCCAAAGCAACACUUCUGUAUCACCCUGCUGACUAUCCCUGUGCUACUCUGGCUCUGACUCCCUGACUCACGGCCUUUCUGAUUUCCUGUCACCCUCCCGUGCCGGCACGUGUCCCCGGAGCCCAGCACAGGCCUGGCGCACGGUGGCGUCCGUGAGGCGUUGGCCAAGAAAUCAAAGAACACGCUUCCC
rnacentral:lncRNA from 1 species